CCUACGGGUGGCUGCAGUGAGGAAUAUUGGUCAAUGGACGCAAGUCUGAACCAGCCAUGCCGCGUGCAGGAUGACGGCUCUAUGAGUUGUAAACUGCUUUUGUACGAGGGUAAACCCCGAUACGCGUACCGGGUUGAAAGUAUCGUACGAACAAGGAUCGGCUAACUCCGUGCCAGCAGCCGCGGUAAUACGGAGGAUGCGAGCGUUAUCCGGAUUUAUUGGGUUUAAAGGGUGCGCAGGCGGUUUGAUAAGUUAGAGGUGAAAUGUCGGGGCUCAACCCCGAAACUGCCUCUAAAACUGUUAGACUAGAGAAUGGGUGCGGUAGGCGGAAUGUGUGGUGUAGCGGUGAAAUGCUUAGAGAUCGUGCAGAACACCGAUUGCGAAGGCAGGUUACCGAACUAUAUCUGACGUUGAGGCACGAAAGCGUGGGUAGCAAACAGGAUUAGAUACCCGAGUAGUC
rnacentral:rRNA from 1 species